rnacentral:rRNA from 1 species
CUGGCGGCGUGCCUAACACAUGCAAGUCGAACGGAGUAAAGAGCUUCGGUUUUUUACUUAGUGGCGAACGGGUGAGUAACGCGUGAGAAACCUGCCUUUCAGUGGGGGACAACAGUUGGAAACGACUGCUAAUACCGCAUAAUGUUAUUUGGGGGCAUCCUUGAAUAACCAAAGCUUUAUGUGCUGAAAGAUGGUCUCGCGUCUGAUUAGCUAGUUGGUGAGGUAACGGCUCACCAAGGCGACGAUCAGUAGCCGGUCUGAGAGGAUGAACGGCCACAUUGGGACUGAGAUACGGCCCAGACUCCUACGGGAGGCAGCAGUGGGGAAUAUUGGGCAAUGGGGGAAACCCUGACCCAGCAACGCCGCGUGAAGGAAGAAGGCUUUCGGGUUGUAAACUUCUUUUAGCAGGGACGAAGAACGUGACGGUACCUGCAGAAAAAGCAACGGCUAACUACGUG